AUUGAACGCUGGCGGCAGGCCUAACACAUGCAAGUCGCGCGAGCGGCGGACGGGUGAGUAAUGUCUGGGAAACUGCCUGCUGGAGGGGGAUAACUACUGGAAACGGUAGCUAAUACCGCAUACCAUCAGAUGUGCCCAGAUGGGAUUAGCUGGUAGGUGGGGUAACGGCUCACCUGGGAGACGAUCCCUAGCUGGUCUGAGAGGAUGACCAGCCACACGGGAACUGAGACACGGGCCAGACUCCUACGGGAGGCAGCAGGGGGGAAUAUUGCACAAGGGGCGCAAGCCUGAGGCAGCCAUGCCGCGUGUGUGAAGAAGGCCUUCGGGUUGUAAAGCACUUUCAGCGGGGAGGCGUUACCCGCAGAAGAAGCACCGGCUAACGCCGUGCCAGCCGCCGCGGUAAUUC
rnacentral:rRNA from 1 species